GAUACCCCGCUAUAAGGAUGUGCCAGAAGGGGUAGUAAGAUUUACACCUGAAACUUAAAGAAUUUGGCGGUGACUUAUCUAUCCAGAGGAAUUUGUCCUGUAAUCGACACUCCGCGGUGAACUUUACUUUGUCUAUAAGUUUGUAUACCUCCGUCGUAAGGAAAUACUUUAAAGUGAUAUCCCAAAGAUUAAAGAAAGAAAGUCAGGUCAAGGUGCAGCUGAUGACAAAGAAGUGAUGAAUUACAAAAAGACAACUUAUUACGAAAUUAAAUUGAAAAUUUUAAGGAAGGUGGAUUUGGAAGUAUUAUUUAAGAAUAAAAGUGGGAUAUAAGCUCUAAGUCAUGUACACAUUGCCCGUCGCUCUUGUUUUAAAACAAGAUAAGUCGUA
rnacentral:rRNA from 1 species